GACGAACGCUGGCGGCGUGCUUAACACAUGCAAGUCGAACGGAAAGGCCCUGCUCUUGCGGGGUGCUCGAGUGGCGAACGGGGGAGUAACACGUGAGUAACAUGCCCUUGACUUUGGGAUAUCAUCAGGAAACUGGGGCUAUUACAGCAUAGGAGCUCCUGCUGCACGGUGGGGGAUGGAAAGUUUCGGCGGUUGGGGAUGGACUCGCGGCUUAUCAGCUAGUUUGUGGGGUAGUGGCUUACCAAGGUUUUGAAGGGUAGCCGGCCUGAGAGGGUGGCCGGCGACCAUGGGCCUGAGGUACGGCGCAGACGCCUACGGGAGGCAGAAGUGGGGAAUUUUGCGCAAUGGGCGGAAGCCUGAUGCAGCAACGCCGCGUGCGUGAUGACGGCCUUCGGGUUGUAAACCGCUGUCGACUGUGAUGUAGCGGGAGUGACGGUAAUGGGUAAAGAAGCACCGGCUAACUACGUG
rnacentral:rRNA from 1 species